rnacentral:lncRNA from 1 species
AAUUUGGAAUUUGGAAUUUGAUUAGAGCAACAAAGAUUUUUGAUUAUCGAGACAUUGGCCAGAAACCAAGUCUUGGAUUUUUAUGCUUGCAUAUGAUCUUCAUUAUGAAUGGUUACCUGGCAUUCUUGACUUAAAGUUUCUGAGCCACAUAGUAACUUUUAAAAUUGCUCCAGCCUUUUGCUUCAUUAAUGUGUAUAAAUUUGU